rnacentral:rRNA from 1 species
UGGGGAAUAUUGCACAAUGGGCGCAAGCCUGAUGCAGCCAUGUCGCGUGUAUGAAGAAGGCCUUCGGGUUGUAAAGUACUUUCAGCGGGGAGGAAGGGAGUAAAGUUAAUACCUUUGCUCAUUGACGUUACCCGCAGAAGAAGCACCGGCUAACUCCGUGCCAGCAGCCGCGGUAAUACGGAGGGUGCAAGCGUUAAUCGGAAUUACUGGGCGUAAAGCGCACGCAGGCGGUUUGUUAAGUCAGAUGUGAAAUCCCCGGGCUCAACCUGGGAACUGCAUCUGAUACUGGCAAGCUUGAGUCUCGUAGAGGGGGGUAGAAUUCCAGGUGUAGCGGUGAAAUGCGUAGAGAUCUGGAGGGAUACCGGUGGCGAAGGCGGCCCCCUGGACGAAGACUGACGCUCAGGUGCGAAAGCGUGGGGAGCAAACAGG